rnacentral:misc_RNA from 1 species
AUGAAGCCAAGUACCCGACAAUGUCGCCUCUGAGAGACAUUGUGGAUAGCAUUCACAGUCAAGUGGCCAAGAUUGAGGAUGACCUCAAGAUUCGUGUUGCUGAGUACUAUAAUGUGCGGAGUCAACUUAAUGCCAUUAACAGAAAGCAAAGUGGAAGCUUGGCAGUCCGUGAUAUUUCCAAUCUUGUAAAACCAGAGGACAUAAUUACCUCAGAACAUCUAGCAACCCUUCUAGUGAUUGUUCCCAAGUACUCUCAGA